rnacentral:miRNA from 1 species
GUUGAUCGAUGUGGGAUGUUACA